UGAUCUACCCUGUGCUUACCCCACCCC
rnacentral:piRNA from 1 species